UGGGGAAUUUUGGACAAUGGGCGAAAGCCUGAUCCAGCAAUGCCGCGUGUGUGAAGAAGGCCUUCGGGUUGUAAAGCACUUUUGUCCGGAAAGAAAUCCUUGGCUCUAAUACAGUCGGGGGAUGACGGUACCGGAAGAAUAAGCACCGGCUAACUACGUGCCAGCAGCCGCGGUAAUACGUAGGGUGCAAGCGUUAAUCGGAAUUACUGGGCGUAAAGCGUGCGCAGGCGGUUUGCUAAGACCGAUGUGAAAUCCCCGGGCUCAACCUGGGAACUGCAUUGGUGACUGGCAGGCUAGAGUAUGGCAGAGGGGGGUAGAAUUCCACGUGUAGCAGUGAAAUGCGUAGAGAUGUGGAGGAAUACCGAUGGCGAAGGCAGCCCCCUGGGCCAAUACUGACGCUCAUGCACGAAAGCGUGGGGAGCAAACAGGAUUAGAUACCCAGGUAGUCCACGCCCUAAACGAUGUCAACUAGUUGUUGGGGAUUCAUUUCCUUAGUAACGUAGCUAACGCGUGAAGUUGACCGCCUGGGGAGUACGGUCGCAAGAUUAAAACUCAAAUGAAUUGACGGGGUCAUAGCUGUUUCCU
rnacentral:rRNA from 1 species